rnacentral:rRNA from 1 species
GAUGAACGCUGGCGGCGUGCCUAACACAUGCAAGUCGAACGAGAAAGUGGAGCAAUCCAUGAGUACAGUGGCGACCGGGUGAGUAACACGUGACUAACCUACCCUCGAGUGGGGGAUAACGCCGGGAAACCGGCGCUAAUACCGCAUAACAUCGCGAGGUGAAAUUCCUUGUUAUCAAAGGAGCAAUUCGCUUGAAGAGGGAGUCGCGUCUGAUUAGCUAGUUGGUGAGGUAACGGCCCACCAAGGCGAUGAUCAGUAGCCGGCCUGAGAGGGCGCACGGCCACACUGGAACUGAAACACGGUCCAGACUCCUAUGGGAGGCAGCAGUGGGGAAUUUUGCGCAAUGGGGGAAACCCUGACGCAGCAACGCCGCGUGGAGGAUGAAGUCCUUUGGGAUGUAAACUCCUUUCGACCGGGAAGAUAAUGACGGUACCGGAGGAAGAAGCACCGGCUAACUCUGUGCCAGCCGCCGCGGUAA